CCUACGGGUGGCAGCAGUGAGGAAUAUUGGUCAAUGGGCGCGAGUCUGAACCAGCCAUGCCGCGUGCAGGAUGACGGCUCUAUGGGUUGUAAACUUCUUUUGUACGGGGGUAAAGUGAGAUACGCGUGUCUUUCUGUAAGUAUUUUACGAAUAAGGAUCGGCUAACUCCGUGCCAGCAGCCGCGGUAAUACGGAGGAUUCGAGCGUUAUCCGGAUUUAUUGGGUUUAAAGGGUGCGUAGGCGGUCGGAUAAGUUAGAUGUGAAAUUUCGAGGCUCAACUGCGGAAUUGCAUUUGAUACUGGCAGGCUAGAGUGUAGUUGCGGUAGGCGGAAUGCAUGGUGUAGCGGUGAAAUGCUUAGAGAUCACACAGAACACCGAUUGCGAAGGCAGCUUACUAAGCUACUACUGACGUUGAGGCACGAAAGCGUGGGGAGCAAACAGGAUUAGAUACCCGAGUAGUC
rnacentral:rRNA from 1 species